UAGCAUAAUCAUUAGUUUUUUAAUUGAGAACUGGAAUGAAAGGUUAAAUAAGAAAUAAUCUUUAUUAGUUUUAUAUUUUUUAAAUUUGUUACUUUAGUAAAAAAACUAAAAUAAAAUAAAAAGACGAUAAGACCCUAUAAAGCUUUAUAAUAUAAAAUUUAAUAAUUUAUUAGAAUAAUAAAAUUAUUUUUUUUUUAUUAUUAAAUUGGGGUGAUUUAAAGAUUUAUUAAACUCUUUAAAAAAUUUUUCAUGUUUAGAUGUUUUUUGAUCCUUAAGUUUUUAAGAAUAAAAAAAUAAGUUACUUUAGGGAUAACAGCGUAAUUUUUUUGAAGAGUUCUAAUCGAUAAAAAAGAUUGCGACCUCGAUGUUGAAUUAAGAUAAAAAUUAGGUGUAGAAGUUUAAUUUUU
rnacentral:rRNA from 1 species